rnacentral:rRNA from 1 species
AGUGAACGCUGGCGGUAGGCCUAACACAUGCAGGUCGAACGGCAGCACAGGAGAGCUUGCUCUCUGGGUGGCGAGUGGCGGACGGGUGAGGAAUACAUCGGAAUCUACUCUGUCGUGGGGGAUAACGUAGGGAAACUUACGCUAAUACCGCAUACGACCUACGGGUGAAAGCAGGGGGUCUUCGGACCUUGCGCGAUUGAAUGAGCCGAUGUCGGAUUAGCUAGUUGGCGGGGUAAAGGCCCACCAAGGCGACGAUCCGUAGCAGGUCUGAGAGGAUGAUCAGCCACACUGGAACUGAGACACGGUCCAGACUCCUACGGGAGGCAGCAGUGGGGAAUAUUGGACAAUGGGCGCAAGCCUGAUCCAGCCAUACCGCGUGGGUGAAGAAGGCCUUCGGGUUGUAAAGCCCUUUUGUUGGGAAAGAAAUCCAGCUGGCUAAUACCCGGUUGGGAUGACGGUACCCAAAGAAUAAGCACCGGCUAACUUCGUGCCAGCCGCCGCCGUAA